AGCGAACGCUGGCGGCAGGCUUAACACAUGCAAGUCGAGCGGGCCCUUCGGGGUCAGCGGCAGACGGGUGAGUAACACGUGGGAACGUACCCUUUGGUUCGGAAUAACGCUGGGAAACUAGCGCUAAUACCGGAUACGCCCUUUUGGGGAAAGGCUUGCUGCCGAAGGAUCGGCCCGCGUCUGAUUAGCUAGUUGGUGGGGUAAUGGCCUACCAAGGCGACGAUCAGUAGCUGGUCUGAGAGGAUGAUCAGCCACACUGGGACUGAGACACGGCCCAGACUCCUACGGGAGACAGCAGUGGGGAAUAUUGGACAAUGGGCGCAAGCCUGAUCCAGCCAUGCCGCGUGAGUGAUGAAGGCCUUAGGGUUGUAAAGCUCUUUUGUCCGGGACGAUAAUGACGGUACCGGAAGAAUAAGCCCCGGCUAACUUCGUG
rnacentral:rRNA from 1 species